CCCGCCGUGAGGGCCCGGCCCGCAGUGCUCGAGAGCGGCCCCGUCGGAGCCUUCCCGCGCUUUUUCCAUAAAAAAAAGGGCAUUCCACCGGGAAUUCCCAUCGCAUCCCGGCCUAAAGGCUCCAGCAGCACACCUCUGCACAGGACAGUGAAUGAGAGUUAUCACCGAGGCUGUUAAGGCUGCAAAACUGCUGGUAUAGGGAUUGCCAUGCUCAAAAAAACGAUGGAAUGUGGGAAAAUGCUCUUUAAACUGCCCCCUCCAGUCUAUACAUAAAGGAUGCAUAUUACUUAGAGAUAUGCUUUUACCUAAAAUUAUUCACGUAAGGUAUUUUACAGGAUUAAUUGCAUAACUGACAUUUAGAAAUACCCAGAUCUGGUCUUUGGGGUGAAUUACCCCAAUUUUGAGCACUCAAAAGCUGAAAAGUUCCCCAGGAGAAGCUGCUGCUCCUUCCUCUGAGUGUGGCCUGUUAAGCACUAAAGAAAACUGCACUCCACAAAACAAUUCUUGUAGUCUUGUGAUGUUUUUGGAUGUUUUUUUUACCGCUGCAUAAAUUUAUUAUUACAGCAGGCCACUAUCCCUAAAAAUCAUAUAAAUUAUGGAAGGAAUUGUGUCGCGGACGUGCUCCUGCACAGGCUUUGAGUUCUUUUGCAGGUAAAACACCCAUGUGUGCCUGCACAUGCAGGGCUCAGGUUCCCAAGGUGAAUAUAUUGAUUUAUUUCCUUGGCCCGUGGGAUCCCCAAGGUUCUGAAGCUGUUGGGAUACUGCAUUCCCACUGAACAUGGACGGAUUUCCGUGAACUUUAGUUCCACUCAACAAACACUGCCCGAGGCCCCUGCAGUUAAUAGAAACUCAGGACUACAGAGGUUCUUUUGUGUGAGACAAGAGUCUUAUCCAGGCUUGGAUCACACGGGGACCUCGGGGUGGGAAGUUCUGCAGCCCACGCCAGCCAAAACCCAUUUCAUUCCUGAGGAAUACGACUGUUGGUCAAAUUCCCCACACAGAAAAGGUCGGAAUAACAUCGCACAGAGCUGUUACUCACUCCUGGAUGCAGAGGAGGGAGGAAGCCCGAGCUGCACAUGCUUGCACCAUCUGCUGGCAGCAUCCUCACCGACAGACAUUCCUCGGAGGGAUUCUCUAAUUCCUCAUCCACACCUAGCGACACGAGGCCACCGCUAUAAAGGUUUAAGAUUCAGGAGCCCUUGGGCGGAUCCGGCGCGCAGCGUUCCGGGCAGCGGGGCUGACCUCCCGCCGUGGAAUUUCACCUAGUAAUUUCUGUGACACACAGAAAUCCUUGGAGCAGCUUGUCUGGCCUCAGAAGUAAAUCUAAGUGCCUGUGGCUUGACAAAUAAACAAUCUGAAAGCGCUUAAUGACUCACAACCUUGCCUAAGAAUAGCUGAACUCUGCAAGAUGGAAAUUCAGCGCGGGGAACGCAGCCUCCGAUGCUGCCCGAGCUGGAAGCCAAGGGACCCAGUGGGAGAUGGGCAGGGAGAGGCUGUGGCUGCAUUCCUGAUGUCCACUCCCAGCUCCUGGCAAGCAGCAUCUCAGAGAAUUCUUCGAUAUUCGUGUGUAUCAGCCACCCUGGAGCGCUCCCCAAAUUCACUUAAUCCGCUUUUUAAACAAAUUAUCGGGUUUCGUUUGUGCAGACAGCAAAGUUCUCCUUAUUUAUCCCGGUUUGUUUGAAAGCACCAUUUAUUAUCUGGGAUUAAAGAGGGGUCACACAAGUUACCCACAUCUCUAUAUUACCCUUCCAAGCACCUACAGCUCAUGCAAAAGACUAUUUUUAAAUCCAGUUAUUGAGCAAGUAAAAGCCUCUGACUGAAAAGGGGAACUGGGUUUGGCCGUUUCCUCAAAAAGGAGGGUUUUGGUAGCUGGUGCUUUUCUGAGGCACACUUACAGAAACGUGUUCUGUGAGCUGCCACCACAGCUUCUUACCCCUCUACACACCUUUGAGCACUUUAACCCCAGGGAAAAGAGAACAAAAACAAGUUCAGCUGAAUGUCUGCGACCACAAGAGCUUCCUGUAGGUGCCCAAAGUUUCUGCUGCAAAAGCCUCGUUGCUGUCAUUAGGGCUCAAGGGAUCAUCCUGGCUUUGGGAUGAGCACAAGGGAUGGGUAAUGGAUAAGGUGCACGGUCCCAGGAGCAGCAGGAGAGGUGCUGUGUCUCCAAGGCCAUGGCUGCACAUCAAAGUUGGUUUGUUGAUCAGGUUCAAGAGAAAAAAAUAA